rnacentral:rRNA from 1 species
GAUGAACGCUGGCGGCGUGCCUAAUACAUGCAAGUAGAACGCUGAAGGAAGGAGCUUGCUCUUUCCGGAUGAGUUGCGAACGGGUGAGUAACGCGUAGGUAACCUGCCUGGUAGCGGGGGAUAACUAUUGGAAACGAUAGCUAAUACCGCAUAACAGUAGAUGUUGCAUGAUAUCUACUUAAAAGGUGCAAUUGCACCACUACCAGAUGGACCUGCGUUGUAUUAGCUAGUUGGUGAGGUAACGGCUCACCAAGGCGACGAUACAUAGCCGACCUGAGAGGGGGAUCGGCCACACUGGGACUGAGACACGGCCCAGACUCCUACGGGAGGCAGCAGUAGGGAAUCUUCGGCAAUGGACGGAAGUCUGACCGAGCAACGCCGCGUGAGUGAAGAAGGUUUUCGGAUCGUAAAGCUCUGUUGUAAGAGAAGAACGAGUGUGAGAGUGGAAAGUUCACACUGUGACGGUAUCUUACCAGAAAGGGACGGCUAACUACGUG